AGGGGAAUCGCCAAGUUGGUCAAGGCACUGGAUUUUGAUUCCAGCAUCCAAGGUUCGAAUCCUUGUUCCCCUGCCA
rnacentral:tRNA from 1 species